rnacentral:rRNA from 1 species
AUAGCGCAUAGUACUGUGAAGGAAAGGUGAAAAGGACCCCGGGAGGGGAGUGAAAGAGAACCUGAAACCUUGUGCUUACAAGCACCGAGAGCCCGUCAAAGGGUGAUCGGGUACCUUUUGUAGAAUGGUCCGGCGAGUGAAUGUAUCUGGCAAGGUUAAGCACUUAAGGUGCGCAGCCGUAGCGAAAGCGAGUCUGAACAGGGCGUAAGAAGUCAGAUGGAUUCGACCCGAAACCGGGUGACCUACCCAUGUCCAGGUUGAAGUGGAGGUAAAACUCCAUGGAGGACCGAACCGACUCCCGUUGAAAUGGUAGCGGAUGAGGUGUGGGUAGCGGAGAAAUUCCAAUCGAACCCGGAGAUAGCUGGUUCUCUCCGAAAUAGCUUUAGGGCUAGCCUCGAAAUAGAUUACCGGAGGUAAAGCACUGAAUAGGCUAGGGGCCGAGAGGUUACUGAACCUUAUCAAACUAAGAAUGCCGGGGAAUCGUUUUUCGGGAGUCAGACAGUGGGAGAUAAGUUUCAUUGUCGAAAGGGAAACAGCCCAGACCCACAGCUAAGGUCCCAAAGUACGGUUAAGUGGAAAAGGAUGUGGAGUUGCCCAGACAACCAGGAUGUUGGCUUAGAAGCAGCCAUACAUUAAAAGAGUGCGUAAUAGCUCACUGGUCGAGUGACUCUGCGCCGAAAAUUCAACGGGGCUAAAACCUGCACCGAAGCUUAGGCAUCCGCAAGGAUGGGUAGGGGAGCGUUGUGUAUGCGGUGAAGCGUUAGCGUAAGCGGGCGUGAAGCGUACACAAGUGAGAAUGCCGGAAUGAGUAGCGCGAAUGAUGUGAGAAUCAUCAUGGCCGAAAGCCUCAGGUUUUUGGAGGAAGGUUCGUCCGCUCCAAGUUAGCCGGGAGCUAAGGUGAGGCCGAAAGGCGUAGCCGAUGCACAUACGGUAGAGAUUCCGUAGCCGCCGAAAGAUUUAAGCAGGGGGACACAUUUGAAGUGUUGGUGCCGGGUGUUGGUUUACCCGGUCGAAAGGGACUGAAAUUUAGUAGGGAAGUCCAGCAUGGAGAGUGGCGAGAAAAGCCCUGUGUAUAUCUAAGGCGCCCGUACCGCAAACCGACACAGGUAGGUAGGAAGAAGAUUCUAAGGCCAACGGGAGAAGGGUUGUUAAGGAACUCGGCAAGUUGACCCCGUAACUUCGGAAUAAGGGGAGCCUCGAAAGAGGCCGCAGUGAAAAGGCCCAAGCAACUGUUUACCAAAAACACAGGUCUAUGCUAAAUCGAAAGAUGACGUAUAUGGGCUGACGCCUGCCCGGUGCUGGAAGGUUAAGAGGAGAGCUUAGCGCAAGCGAAGGUUUGAAUUGAAGCCCCAGUAAACGGCGGCCGUAACUAUAACGGUCCUAAGGUAGCGAAAUUCCUUGUCGGGUAAGUUCCGACCUGCACGAAUGGCGUAACGAUCUCCACACUGUCUCGGCCAGAGACUCGGUGAAAUUGAAGUCGCGGUGAAAAUGCCGUGUACCCGCAGAAAGACGGAAAGACCCUGUGCACCUUUACUAUAGCUUGACAUUGGGAUUUGAGCCUGCAUGUGUAGCAUAGGUGGGAGGCUGUGAACUCUGUACGCCAGUAUGGAGGGAGCCAUCGUUGAAAUACCACCCUUGUUUGUUCAGGUCCCUAACUCCUUGCCGUGAUCCGGUAGGAGGACAGUGUCUGGUGGGUAGUUUGACUGGGGCGGUCGCCUCCCAAAAUGUAACGGAGGCAUGCAAAGGUUCCCUCAGGCUGAUUGGAAACCAGCCGUCGAGUGCAAACGCAAAAGGGAGCUUGACUGCAAGAGAGACAUCUCGAGCAGGUACGAAAGUAGGUGUUAGUGAUCCGGUGAUCCCGAAUGGAAGGGUCAUCGCUCAUUGGAUAAAAGGUACGCCGGGGAUAACAGGCUGAUCGCAUCCAAGAGUUCACAUCGACGAUGCGGUUUGGCACCUCGAUGUCGGCUCAUCACAUCCUGGGGCUGAAGCAGGUCCCAAGGGUACGGCUGUUCGCCGUUUAAAGUGGUACGCGAGCUGGGUUUAAAACGUCGUGAGACAGUUUGGUCCCUAUCUUCUGUGGGCGUAGGAGAAUUGAAAGGGCCUGUCCCUAGUACGAGAGGACCGGGAUGGACACACCACUGGUGGACCUGUUGUCGUGCCAACGGCACAGCAGGGUAGCUAUGUGUGGAAGGGAUAACCGCUGAAAGCAUCUAAGCGGGAAGCCUGCCUUAAGAUAAGUUCUCCCUGACGCAAGUCCUGAAGGGCCGAGGUAGACGACCUCGUUGAUAGGCUGGAGGUGGAAGCCCUGUGAGGGGUGGAGCUGACCAGUACUAAUAGCCCGUGCGUCUUGUUUCU